rnacentral:rRNA from 1 species
GAUGAACGCUAGCGGCAGGCUUAACACAUGCAAGUCGGGGGGUAAAUAUAGCAAUAUAUGAGACCGGCAAACGGGUGCGGAACGCGUACGCAAUCUACCCUUAUCUGGGGCAUAGCCCGAAGAAAUUCGGCUUAAUACCUCAUGGUAUACUGAGUUGGCAUCAAUUUAGUAUUAAAGAUCCAUCGGAUAAGGAUGAGCGUGCGUCCCAUUAGCUAGUUGGUAGGGUAACGGCCUACCAAGGCGACGAUGGGUAGCUGGUGUGAGAGCACGACCAGCCACACGGGCACUGAGACACGGGCCCGACUCCUACGGGAGGCAGCAGUGAGGAAUAUUGGUCAAUGGACGCAAGUCUGAACCAGCCAUGCCGCGUGAAGGAUGAAGGCCUUCUGGGUUGUAAACUUCUUUUAUGUGGGAAGAAACCCCUGAUUUCUAUUAGGGUUGACGGUACCAUAGGAAUAAGCACCGGCUAACUCCGUGCCAGCCGCCGUUGUAAUAC